UGGGGAAUUUUGGACAAUGGGCGAAAGCCUGAUCCAGCAAUGCCGCGUGUGUGAAGAAGGCCUUCGGGUUGUAAAGCACUUUUGUCCGGAAAGAAAUCCUUGGCUCUAAUACAGUCGGGGGAUGACGGUACCGGAAGAAUAAGCACCGGCUAAUUACGUGCCAGCAGCCGCGGUAAUACGUAGGGUGCAAGCGUUAAUCGGAAUUACUGGGCGUAAAGCGUGCGCAGGCGGUUUGCUAAGACCGAUGUGAAAUCCCCGGGCUCAACCUGGGAACUGCAUUGGUGACUGGCAGGCUAGAGUAUGGCAGAGGGGGGUAGAAUUCCACGUGUAGCAGUGAAAUGCGUAGAGAUGUGGAGGAAUACCGAUGGCGAAGGCAGCCCCCUGGGCCAAUACUGACGCUCAUGCACGAAAGCGUGGGGAGCAAACAGGAUUAGAUACCCUGGUAGUCCACGCCCUAAACGAUGUCAACUAGUUGUUGGGGAUUCAUUCCUUAGUAACGUAGCUAACGCGUGAAGUUGACCGCCUGGGGAGUACGGUCGCAAGAUUAAAACUCAAAGGAAUUGACGGGGUCAUAGCUGUUUCCU
rnacentral:rRNA from 1 species